rnacentral:rRNA from 1 species
AUUUUUGACGAACGCUGGCGGCGUGUCCUAACACAUGCACGUCGAGCGGAGAAUGCAAGAUGUUUACAUUGAGUAUUCUUAGCGGCGGACGGGUGAGUAACACGUGGGUAACCUGCCUCAGAGUGGGGGAUAGCCUUUCGAAAGGAAGAUUAGUACCGCAUAAGCUUGUAGCAUCGCAUGGUGCAGCAAGAAAAGGAGCAAUCCGCUCUGAGAUGGACCCGCGGCGCAUUAGCUAGUUGGUGAGGUAACGGCUCACCAAGGCCACGAUGCGUAGCCGACCUGAGAGGGUGAUCGGCCACAUUGGAACUGAGACACGGUCCAGACUCCUACGGGAGGCAGCAGUGGGGAAUAUUGCACAAUGGGCGAAAGCCUGAUGCAGCAACGCCGCGUGAGUGAUGAAGGCUUUCGAGUCGUAAAGCUCUUUGAUCAGGGAUGAUAAUGACAGUACCUGAAAAACAAGCCACGGCUAACUACGUGCCAGCAGCCGCGGUAAUACGUAGGUGGCGAGCGUUGUCCGGAAUUACUGGGCGUAAAGGAUGCGUAGGUGGAUAUUUAAGUGGGAUGUGAAAUCCCCGGCUCAACCCGGGAACUGC